UGUUUACAGCUGGACUAGGUGAGAUGUCCUGCCUGCAUAUCAAAGCAGGUUCCCAUAUUAAGGUUUUGCCUGGUGCCUGCAUAUCAAAGCAGAUUCACAUAUUGAGGUUCCUGCCUGAUGUCUGUAUGGGCCUAAAGCAAUAGUGUGGGA